rnacentral:rRNA from 1 species
GACGAACGCUGGCGGCGUGCUUAACACAUGCAAGUCGAACGGAAAGGCCCUGCUUUUGUGGGGUGCUCGAGUGGCGAACGGGUGAGUAACACGUGAGUAACCUGCCCUUGACUUCGGGAUAACUUCAGGAAACUGGGGCUAAUACCGGAUAGGAGCUCCUGCUGCAUGGUGGUGGUUGGAAAGUUUCGGCGGUUGGGGAUGGACUCGCGGCUUAUCAGCUUGUUGGUGGGGUAGUGGCUUACCAAGGCUUUGACGGGUAGCCGGCCUGAGAGGGUGACCGGCCGCAUUGGGACUGAGAUACGGCCCAGACUCCUACGGGAGGCAGCAGUGGGGAAUAUUGCACAAUGGGCGGAAGCCUGAUGCAGCAACGCCGCGUGCGGGAUGACGGCCUUCGGGUUGUAAACCGCUUUCGCCUGUGACGAAGCGUGAGUGACGGUAAUGGGUAAAGAAGCACCGGCUAACUACGUGC